CACACGCCAUCAGCCGCAGGGCGAUCUGGGACGGCGCAUGCGGACGGCCGUGCGCGCCUCGGCCACGCCCACCGGGGUGCUGGUG
rnacentral:misc_RNA from 1 species